UACGGAGGGUGCAAGCGUUAUCCGGAUUCACUGGGUUUAAAGGGUGCGUAGGUGGGCAGUUAAGUCAGUGGUGAAAUCUCCGAGCUUAACUCGGAAACUGCCAUUGAUACUAUCUGUCUUGAAUAUCCUGGAGGUGAGCGGAAUAUGUCAUGUAGCGGUGAAAUGCUUAGAUAUGACAUAGAACACCAAUUGCGAAGGCAGCUGACUACGCGAGUAUUGACACUGAGGCACGAAAGCGUGGGGAUCAAACAGG
rnacentral:rRNA from 1 species